rnacentral:rRNA from 1 species
GACGAACGCUGGCGGCGUGCUUAACACAUGCAAGUCGAACGAUGAAGCCGGAGCUUGCUCUGGUGAAUUAGUGGCGAACGGGUGAGUAACACGUGAGUAACCUGCCCUUGACUCUGGGAUAACUGCGGGAAACUGUAGCUAAUACCGGAUCCGACCCUCGGAGGCAUCUCCUGGGGGUGGAAAGAAUUUCGGUCAAGGAUGGACUCGCGGCCUAUCAGCUAGUUGGUGAGGUAAAGGCUCACCAAGGCGACGAAGGGUAGCCGGCCUGAGAGGGUGACCGGCCACACUGGGACUGAGACACGGCCCAGACUCCUACGGGAGGCAGCAGUGGGGAAUAUUGCACAAUGGGCGCAAGCCUGAUGCAGCAACGCCGCGUGAGGGAUGACGGCCUUCGGGUUGUAGACCUCUUUUAGCAGGGAAGAAGCGAAAGUGACGGUACCUGCAGAAAAAGCACCGGCUAACUACGUGCCAGCCGCCGCCGUAA